GCACAACUAUCUCGUGAUUCUCGACUCGAGUCCCGAUCGGAAUAUUACUUUAUAUUUGCCCAGGCUAAAGCCAGUGAUCAGGAGUUCCUAUCCUGUGUUGUUGUUUCGUUUUGUGACCGACACUAACGGGUAAUUGAUCGGCCCCCAAAAGCCGCCCACCGCAGGAUUACUCGUUUUUGCGAUCACAAAUCCUGAAAUUUCAGCAAAGAGCAGCAAUUCAGGGAACCAGUGAAAAUAUAAUAUAGUAUUGAGUGCUCAAAAGAAAAUAAAAAAUGGCAAAUAGUAGCAAUUGUUACAAGAAUUUGUAUCCAUAUUGACAAAAAACAUAUUUAAUCUUUUUUUAAAAAUAUAUGUUAUGUGAAAAGGAAUGUUAAAUAAAUUGUUUUUAAAUGCGUAUUAUCAGAAUUGCAGAGAAGAUGACUUCUUCACACGAGGUUCGCAUUUAAAUGUUCAUUCCCCAGGAAAACCUCUUUUAAAAGCCGUGGGAAAAGGACACAAUCUCAACCCCGUUUAUCCCACCUUAAAAGUUAAGAAGCUGCCUUUAAUUAACUCAAAUCACUGGGGAGUGCACUUUCCAUAUCGCUGCACCCAUCGCACUUCAGGUGAUCUUUAAGUCGCGCAAGUUUGUUGGCGAUUUACAUUAAGUUCAUGGUCACCGCCAGCUGACAAUUGAUUGACAAUUUGGCCAAGUCUCCGUCGCCGAUGCAGGGGAAAAUAAGAGAAGACAAUGCGUGUUGGGGGAAAACGAUGGCAUCGCCCCCCGAAGAGCUUUUGUAAAAAUAAAGUUAAUUAAAAAUUUCUCGGCGAGAGAGCGAAAAAAACACGACGGCACGGCAGCAACCUCGGCUGCCAGGGAAAUGCAAAUGUAAUUAAAUAAACACGACACCCGAAGGGCGUUCAUCAUCAGCAUCGUCAGGGAAAUGGGACCGACCGCGACUAGGAUUCGAUGGACGAAGGACGAAGGUCGGAGGAUGCGGCAAUGCCACGCCCCUUUUUUCCCGGAAAAACCGAGGGAGUAUAUCAAUUUUUGGUCUCGGGGGCGGACAGCUGAAGAAGAUAAAUUCGAUGCCUCGGUGGACAGGAAUUUUGUCUUUGCCAAAGGAAAAGGAAGAGGACAAGGGAAUCCAGGAAAGGAGUAUCUGUGGAAAUCAGUGUCAUAAUGCCACCCACCACCUCCUCCUCAAAAAACCAGCGACUGCAGCCGCGUCGAUGAUCAGUGAACUGCGAUAAUUCGAUUUCGAUGCGCAGCUCUGCAGCCAGGAAUCUGGCUGGUUAACUGCCGAAGCCGAAGCUGAAGCCAUUGGAGCCGGGAAAUGCAUGGGAAAAGCGGAGGGAAACCCAGCCGGGGGAAGCCAUCUACCAUCUACCUGGGCGCCUGCAGCAACUUGCUGCAAUCUGCAGCUUAAUUUGUGGCGCAAUGUGUGCCGAGGAUAGGGAAAAGGCAGCCUUUCGCCUUUCUUGAUUGCCAGCUGGGGGAAAUGGCGGUGGGAGGAGGUGCUGGUGGAGGUAGUUGGAAAAGAAAAUGACGUGCCAUGAAAUUGAUUGCAAAGUUUGCCCCCAAAACUCAGGCCCCCCGGAAAAGAGGAAAACGACUGAAGAGGCAGCUCCUGGAACUCGGGACUCAGGUGGGCGUCGUCAAAGGUCAAAGCAGCGUGCAUAGGCAAAGCAAAGAGUGUGCCAGCCCCUCGACCUCCGACCCUUAACCCUCGAGUGGGCCGGGGGCUUAUGUUUGCCAGCUCUGUCGAUCGCAUAUUAAAUGAGUUUACCGCCAGGCGCCUGAAAAAGCCCCUAAGCACGCCUUAAAAUUGCUCAGCUGCGAGGCAUUGUGGCCGUCAAUUAAAGUGGUUUAUGGCCAAGUUUAUCCGGAGGAUGUGUUUCGAGCAAAAAGAGCAAGUUGAAGCCGCUUUUGACUUGGCUAAACUUCAGCUUAAUCGAGUAGUUUACUGCGUAUAAUAACGAAGAACAAGGGCUACCGCAAAACUUUGUGCAUAUUUGUUGCCUCAAGUUUUUUUUACCCAAAUUGUUAUCUUCGAUAGAAAGAAAUAAAAAUCAUCCUUUAUUGUAAAUUUGGAAAGGGGUUAUAAAUUAAAUUAAAAAAAAAAAAACAGAUAAAAAAAUAAAAAUAUUUCUAAUGAUGCAGUUUGUUAUAGAAUAAGAAAACAAACAUUUAGAGCUAUGCCAUUUCUAAAUCUGAUUAAAUUAUGCACUUAGAAUAAGUGAAUAUUGGUAAAUUUUAAGAAAAUUAAAAAAUUCUAAAUUCUAAAAUAUUCUAUAAUACCCUCUGAAAGAGUAUACAAAUUAUAUAAAUAGUUAUAAAGGUUACAAAAUCCUUUGUUUGGAUGUUUUAUACCACCACCACAGAAUUGCUUUUCCAUAAUAUUUUAAACCACUUUUCCAAACAAAUUCUGUUUCCGCGACAACAAAGUUGUUCCGGAAUAGACUGUCUUAUUCUGGUUUAUUUAUUUAUUGGUUUGUUUGACCAGAAACCUAUUUAUUCAGAGGUUUUUCUAAACCUGUGGUCAGUUACGUAUUUAUUUAGAUUUUUUGUCGUUGGCAACCGUGGAAUUAUUUCCGAAUAAAACUUUUAUUUGCUUUCA